GCUCUAAUGGCCUAGUGGUUAGAGCGUCUACCUCAAAUGCGAGAGGUCGCGGGUUAGAACUCCGGCCGAGUU